rnacentral:rRNA from 1 species
UACAGAGGGUGCGAGCGUUAAUCGGAAUUACUGGGCGUAAAGCGCGCGUAGGCGGCUUUGCAAGUCGAGUGUGAAAUCCCCAGGCUUAACCUGGGAACUGCAUUCGAGACUGCAUAGCUAGAGUAUGGGAGAGGGAAGUGGAAUUUCAGGUGUAGCGGUGAAAUGCGUAGAUAUCAGGAGGAACACCGAUGGCGAAGGCAGGUCUCUGGGCAUUAACUGACGCUGAGGAGCGAAAGCAUGGGGAGCGAACAGG